rnacentral:rRNA from 1 species
CGAACGGGUGAGUAACACGUGAGCAACCUACCUUUCAGUGGGGGACAACAUUUGGAAACGAAUGCUAAUACCGCAUAAGACCACAGUGUCGCAUGGCACAGGGGUCAAAGGAUUUAUCCGCUGAAAGAUGGGCUCGCGUCCGAUUAGCUAGAUGGUGAGGUAACGGCCCACCAUGGCGACGAUCGGUAGCCGGACUGAGAGGUUGAACGGCCACAUUGGGACUGAGACACGGCCCAGACUCCUACGGGAGGCAGCAUG